rnacentral:tRNA from 1 species
GACGUCGCGGCCGGCGGCCACGGCGCGCCGCUCGCACCGGCAUUCCAUGCGACGGUGUUCGGCGCACCCGGCGACAC